rnacentral:rRNA from 1 species
GAUGAACUUUGGCGGCGUGCCUAAUACAUGCAAGUCGAACGCGAGCAGCAAUGCUCGAGUGGCGAACGGGUGAGUAAUACAUAAGUAACCUGCCCUAGACAGGGGGAUAACUGCUGGAAACGGCAGCUAAGACCGCAUAGGUAUGGACACUGCAUGGUGACCAUAUUAAAAGUGCCAAGGCACUGGUAGAGGAUGGACUUAUGGCGCAUUAGCUGGUUGGUGAGGUAACGGCUCACCAAGGCGACGAUGCGUAGCCGACCUGAGAGGGUGACCGGCCACACUGGGACUGAGACACGGCCCAGACUCCUACGGGAGGCAGCAGUAGGGAAUUUUCGGCAAUGGGGGGAACCCUGACCGAGCAACGCCGCGUGAAGGAAGAAGGAAUUCGUUCUGUAAACUUCUGUUAUAAAGGAAGAACGGCGGAUAUAGGGAAUGAUAUCCGAGUGACGGUACUUUAUGAGAAAGCCACGGCUAACUACGUGCCAGCAGCCGCGGUAAUACGUAGGUGGCGAGCGUUAUCCGGAAUUAUUGGGCGUAAAGAGGGAGCAGGCGGCGGCAGAGGUCUGUGGUGAAAGACUGAAGCUUAACUUCAGUAAGCCAUAGAAACCGGGCUGCUAGAGUGCAGGAGAGGAUCGUGGAAUUCCAUGUGUAGCGGUGAAAUGCGUAGAUAUAUGGAGGAACACCAGUGGCGAAGGCGACGGUCUGGCCUGUAACUGACGCUCAUUCCCGAAAGCGUGGGGAGCAAACAGAAGUAGAUACCCUGGUAGUCCACGCCGUAAACG